CGCCACGGCCCGAGGGAUUCCUGGUUCCGCUCUUUGCCCGAGGAUGUUUCGACGUGGACGUUGAUCGGCCUGUUGCGUAACCACGGACCGGCUGGCCAGUGUUUCCGUGUGGGGACGUCUGUGUGUUGGACGAACGAAACGCGUGUGCUUGUUGGUUCAUAUUGUUGUUGUUGUUGUGCGGGAAUCCUCGAUAGACCGGAGGCGAUUCAGUAAACUGAUCGAUGACGAAGUUGAGUGUGCAUGAAUGGAAGCCGCGUCAUAAUUAAAUGAGGAGCAAACAUCUGAAAGGAAAUUUUUUGCAAAACCGGUCGAUAUCGAUGAACGAGCGGAGCAAGUGACAGCUACUGAACUGAAGAAUCUUGUAAACGUAACCCUCUGUCGGGUGAAAAGAAGAAAACUGAUGCGAGCAUGAUAUAGCAUGAAAAUAGUAGAAAUCGCAGUGCAGUUUACGAGCAACAGGACCGAAACCCGCCACACGGACAGGAAGUGUACGCGAGCCGAUCGGUGCAAUCUCGUUACCAGUGGUGAUCUGCGACUAGAUUCUAUGGUGAAAUCGGGCCGAGUCCAGGCUGCAUGUGAGCACGGUAAUCAGCAAAGAACGUACGUACACGUACAAACGAUCUCGUGAUUGUACGCGGUUGACUGCAUUUUUUGCGUCGUUUCAAAACGUCUACAUUCAACUCUGACUGAACUGGAACGUUCAGUUUUCAUUCGCCGGUGCAGAUUAUUUUAUACGCGUUCGUUUUGCAUCUCGGUGUUUACGGCACACGACCAUGGGUAACUGUCGUGAUGUUCUUGGUAAAUUCCCGUGCCCCGAGGGAGACUGUCAGGGUGGCACAACGCGACGAAACCAGGCUGACCACGUCAUUCCACGCGAAUCACAUCGAUCCGUGUAAUUUGGCAGGAUUUAAUUACACCAAGGAAGCCGCGUUAUUAAGUCCCACAGGGAAGGGACCGAAAGAAUUCAGGUUUCCUGCGUCAUCGAUCAGCGGAACCGGUGGAAAGCCGGAGACUUUAAUGCCCGCACGGACGCACGCCAUGGGAUCGUUUUACGUCUGGUUUUAAAGCUGCCUGUGCUCCAAACACGUGAACGUCUCUGUCACUGAAAUCGAUCGUUUUUCACCGAUUCCUCAACAAAUUUCGAUAAAAAAGUGCCUCGAAAAUACUUCAUUCCGAAGAAUCUUCUCUAUCGAAUACCUAACUGGAUAUCGAAGUCUGGAUUUAACUGGCUAUUUAAUUCGUUAUCGAACAUCUAAGUGGUUACCUAAUUCUUGAUCUAAGUGGAUACUUCAUUCUUGAGCGAAUGACUAAAUGGAUACUUGAUUAAACAUCUAACAUCUAAUUCUUAACACCUAACUAAAUAUCUGACUGAGGAGCUACACAGUUUAGACUCAUCAGAUUUUCACACGAGGAGUUAAACUUGUUGAAAUUCGUUGAACUUUGAACCGUGAAUAUCGAAUCGAAACUUUAAGCGAUCGAAGUUUUGCACGUACACCGGCAUACCGUCAAGCAGGUGUUUGUGCACGGCUUCAAGAAGAAAAAGAGGGUCACGCUCGUUUGGAAAAUUGGAUGUGCUCCAGAGGGACUCUGUUUAGCGGCGAGUGGGACCGUUAUCGAGGACAGGCGAUUUAUCAGCCCAUUGUCUUCAGGCUGGUCGGAUGUGCCUCAGUUUCUGGCAUGGAAUCGCAUGCCGAUGCACGAAACCGCCAGUUUUAACGAACGCAAUUCUGAUCGAAUGUCAACGAAGCCACACAGAAGGCGAACGGGCCGGCGAUUAACAGCCGAGGUCGUAAAGUACGGUUCUCGCCGAAAUUACUGGAUUUAACGAACGGACGUAAACCGGUGCUCGGAAAAGUGAUUGAUGACAAGCGUAUGCCGGAAACGUUUCGCGAAGUUAACCGUUUUUAACGAAUUUAAUUGGAUGACGUAGCGCUCGUGGGAGCUAUUCGGUUAAAGAGGAACGAUAAGGUUGACACGAAAGAAACUGAGCAGCAAACGAAGACUCUAUGAACGUGCAUCCGUACUCACUCGAACAGUGGAGGUGCUUCGUUGCCACCUCUCGGCAGCCGACACACAGUGUCCCGUCGAAGACGAGACCCGACUGUCCGCGAAUUCUGGUGAUCGUGACCGAGCAAGCAUCUGUGCCAGCUCCGGCAAAAGUGGCUCAUCAUGUCCGUACUGGAGGGCGGUGAAGCCGACAGGACGACUAUGUCACCGCUGGACGAAGUCGUGUCCCCGACGAGCGUCGAGUCGGAACUGAUGGUCACCGACAUGUUGGACGAGCACGAGACCACGCUGAACGAGCACAGGGACGGCAAGCGAAAGAGAGACACCGACGGCGAGGAACUGACACCCAGGAAGCUGCCAUCACUGACGAGGAACAACAACGACGUGGGCUUCGUUCUCGAAGAGAGCGCCGACGACGAGCUUCACGAGGAUAGGGAUGACGACCGUUUAACUGGUCACGGGGGUAUUUCCUCGCUGGGCGGUGGAAAUUCCUCGCCGUAUUCCGGUGCCCAUCACCAUGGUCACAGAGGCAAUGGAAACGGCAGUGGGAUGCCCCAUCACGGUGGCGCAUCUUUGCCCACCGCCUCCGACUUUCAACCACCAUAUUUUCCACCCCCUUUUCCAUCGCACCACCACGCGCCAGCGAGUCCUCAACACCCUGGCCUUGGACAACCGCAACAUCUCGAUUACCUCGUUGGCGAUCCUUACACGCAAACGCUCAACACGUUACAUCAACAUCACUAUAAUCACCUGAGCGCUGCUGUCACGGCUGGCCAAAGGAGCGGCGAUCUCAGGAGAGACGCUGAGGGCAUCCAUGUGACGAACAUGCACGCGUCGUUUCCAUACGACGGUGGCCGUAGCAGCGGCGGAGGCGGCGGCGGCGGUGGUGGUGGAGGAGGUGGCGGUGGCGGACGGGGUGUCGAAUACGGCGCCGUCCGGCGUCCCGACGCCCUUCUGCCACCUCCAGGCCUCGACCAAACCGACCUCGUUCUCCACAGCAGCCUCGUAGACGACCCCCAGGUGAGCGACGAUAACACAAACGUAGACGAUGGAGGGUUCAUGAACGAUCUGCCUCUUCUGAAAAACAUGAAGCCAUCGGACAGGAGCGAGAAGGCAAUGCUGACCGGAAACGCACAACCUUCGGACGUGUUCUGUUCGGUUCCAGGACGAUUAUCGUUACUAAGCAGCACCAGCAAGUACAAAGUUACAGUAGCCGAGGUACAAAGACGACUAUCGCCACCGGAAUGCUUAAACGCGAGUCUCCUUGGUGGAGUCUUACGAAGAGCAAAAUCCAAAAACGGCGGACGUCUGCUUAGGGAAAAAUUGGAGAAAAUUGGGUUAAAUCUGCCAGCCGGAAGGAGGAAGGCAGCCAAUGUUACGCUCUUAACUUCAUUAGUGGAAGGAGAAGCCAUUCACCUUGCCAGAGACUUCGGCUAUGUUUGCGAAACCGAAUUCCCUGCGAAGCAAGUUGCCGAAUACCUGAGUCGACAACAUUGUGAACCGCAAGAUUCCUACAGGAGAAAAGAACUUCUUCAUGCCACCAAACAAAUCACCAAAGAGCUGAUGGAUCUUCUGAAUCAAGAUAGAUCUCCACUUUGUAACACACGGCCACAACAUAUCCUCGACCCAAGCAUACAGAGACACCUAACACAUUUCUCUCUCAUAUCACAUGGAUUCGGAAGUCCUGCAAUCGUAGCCGCUCUCACGGCAAUACAGAAGUUCCUAAGCGAGUCGCUGAAUCACCUGGAGAAGAUGUACCCAGGGAACGGGAGCGGCGUAACAAGUAGUCAGCAAUCGAAUCUCGACACGAACAAGAGCAAGGACGGGACGUUGAUGAACGACAUGAAGAAGUGACGCCCGGAAGACCCGCCUACCUCGAACGUGGUCACUUCAAUCAGGCACUCAUGGCCGUACAACUGAGCUUUCGCGAGCUGUCCUCAUCGCGAAUGGCUUCUGGUGGACCACUAAAACGACGCGUAUGUCCGUGCACAGACCUGCACAUUGAAUAAUCAAAAUAAAAGAAAUAAUAAGCCCACCAAUCGCAAGGGAAACAAGCGUGACAGCUAGGCGCGGAUAUCCGUGUUCGAGGUUGGCUGGUCGAAUGUGUUCUAGGUGUACGACACGAAGUCACGAGAAAUGUGCAAUGUGAAAUCUAGCGAGAUUGGACCUCGGCAAGGGUCGAGAGUCCUGGUCGAAUCGGCCGGCAGUGGACACACGAGAUACUUCAUUUUUCUCCUUAUUUUUAGCGAAUCGGGAUACUCUUUCGAUGUUCAGGAAACAUCCACACACAUUUGCAGUCGUAUCAUGUGUAUCGAGAACUCGAGUAACGAGGUUCCUCGUGAAGGAUACUCGAACGCGUACUACUACUUGUGAUAGGCUUAGCGAUAGUCGAAACGUUUGUGCAAUCGUUACGAUUAAUCUUCGCAAUGAUUCUUUGCCGUGCUCCAAACUUGAAGAUCUAACAACUGAGGCUUAUCGGAACGGUCGAGAUCGUUUUGUUGAAAUGCAGCGUAGAACGUGUAGACUUGUUCGUGAUAUGAUUCGAACACGAUUAGAAAUUUAUUCCCAGUUUCGAACGCGUUAACCUUUCCAGUGCUGAAUUCUUUGGAUAUGCUUGGCGGAAUCUGGCUGACUGCAGGGUUAUUAAUCAAAUUUAUGUUGCAUGCAUUCACUGUAAUAUUUUAGGUAUCAUUUUUCUGAUACUGAGAUUACACGGUUCAUGAUCUUUCCUGAUUUUACAGAGUUUUGAAUUUGCGAAUUUUUUAGAUUAGUAAUGAAAUUUGGAAAUUUGGAAAUACUGAA
rnacentral:misc_RNA from 1 species